rnacentral:sRNA from 1 species
CCAUCAGUUAAUAACUUAAAAUAUCGAGACAAUAAUUCAGCACUUUGAUUAUAUCAAUUUAUUUAGAACAGGGAUUUUGAAAAUUUAAAGCUGAUCUGAUUGAGUAUAAGAAAAUCCAUUUUUUUGAAAAAAAAAAAAAAAAAAGAAAAGAAAGAAAGAAACAAAGGAAGAAAAGAAAAGCGAGAAGAAUGUAUUUAUGCUUCAUCUUCGAGUUUCUUGAGCAAUCCUUGUGCAGCAUGUCUCCCCAAUGCAUUCAGGUUGCCCAUACCCAGCAGUUCAAGCACACUAAUAUCGAAGUUAAACGCCUGUCUCCACCAACUUCGCAUUUCAAUAGCAACCAAAGAGUCCAAUCCAAGUCGGGCAAGAGGGAUAGAGGUGUUGAGUUCAUCAUCAGACUUGAGCAAAAAUUCGUUUAGCUUCUUUCCUAUCUCCUGGGCAAACGUGGUCGCGGCCUUCUCUUCCUUGAGCACGGCUGCGUUUGUCUUGGCUUUUGCAAGGAAGGUCUUGAGAUUGUCAUUGCUGCCGCCGGACGAGGUAGUGACGCCGUCGCUGAGGUUGUGGUAGAUGGCCGUUCUCCUGUCCUUCCUCCAGGGGAAGCGGCUUUCAGAGCUACUCAGCGAGUUUGACGUGGACAUACCGACCGUGAAUACGUUCUUGUCCACAAAGGGUUUGUUCAGAGUAUCAUGGCUUGUGUCUCCCGUACCUGACGAGAAAAUCACAGCUGCAGUGACUGCUUGCAUCAGCUCAGGCGUUGUGAUGGCAUGGGCACCAGACGACGUGAGUCUAUUGAGGAGAGCAUCGUUCCUUGAGACGUAGCCAAUGUCCUGGACAGUACCAAUGUCCAGUGCCGACGCUGCCAGGCCAAGGCUCUGCCUGUACUGGACGAAUGCGUCCAAGAAGGUGUUAGCGCCAGCGUAGUUUGCCUGUCCCGCUUGACCGAAGAGUCCGGACAUGGACGAGAACAUGACGAAGAAGUCUAAUUCAAUCCCCGCGGC